rnacentral:rRNA from 1 species
UACGUAGGGGGCGAGCGUUGUCCGGAUUUAUUGGGCGUAAAGAGCGUGUAGGCGGCCAGGUAGGUCUGCUGUGAAAACUCGAGGCUCAACCUCGAGACGUCGGCGGAAACCAUCUGGCUAGAGUCCGGAAGAGGAGAGUGGAAUUCCUGGUGUAGCGGUGAAAUGCGCAGAUAUCAGGGAGAACACCCGUGGCGAAGGCGGCUCUCUGGGACGGUACUGACGCUGAGACGCGAAAGCGUGGGGAGCGAACAGG